CAACGAUUAAGGUUCGCUAUAGACGCGAUUAAUAAGGGAAUGGGGUGAAAAUCCCCGACUGUCCCGCAGCUGUGAGUUCUAUUAUGCCCACAAGCAAAACAACCACUGUCAGGAAUUGAUGACGGGAAGGUGCUUGAGGGUGGAACAAAGUCAGAAGACCUGCCUUAUGAUU
rnacentral:ncRNA from 1 species